CUCUCCUCCAAGAGUAGAUCCAUCAAUCACCGACGAUCGCUGGAGUUCCUCUUCGAUUUUUUCGAUUGAAGCCGCGGCCCCUCGACUCGUGCUCGCCGUGAUUUCACGCCGGUGGGGGUCAUCGGAGGCUGUGAUAAGGCCUCCUUCCUCUUCCUCUCUUCUCUCCCUUCUUUCCCGUGCCUGUGGGCACGAUUGCCGG
rnacentral:lncRNA from 1 species